rnacentral:rRNA from 1 species
UACGAAGGGGGCUAGCGUUGCUCGGAAUCACUGGGCGUAAAGCGCACGUAGGCGGCUUUUUAAGUCAGGGGUGAAAUCCUGGAGCUCAACUCCAGAACUGCCUUUGAUACUGAGAAGCUUGAGUCCGGGAGAGGUGAGUGGAACUGCGAGUGUAGAGGUGAAAUUCGUAGAUAUUCGGAAGAACACCAGUGGCGAAGGCGACUCACUGGCCCGUUACUGACGCUGAGGCUCGAAAGCGUGGGGAGCAAACAGG